UCACCCUGCCUAAAACCCAGUAUAGAGCCCAGCCCACCCUGUCUAAAAGCCAGUCGAUGUGUGACCUUAAGCGUUUGACCUCUGUAGGCUCAGGGACAAACAGCCCAGUCCAACCCAGCACAGCCAAGUCGUGGCCAAAUCCCAGCCUCAAUAGAAACACUUAGUCUCCAGGAAAUGAAUAUAGGAUGUUAUGCACAGACUGUGAAGGACAACCAACCCUGUCCAACAUAGACAACCCAGCACAACACAAAAAAGACCCAGUUUAGCCUGAACUACAUUAAGAUAUGGUGCCAUAUGCUCAGAUUAAAAGAUCACUAGGUAGACUAGUGGUUAGAGUGGAGGGGCGGCAGGUAGACUAGUGGUUAGAGUGGAGGGGCGGCAGGUAGACUAGUGGUUAGAGUGGAGGGGCGGGAGGUAGACUAGUGGUUAGAGUGGAGGGGCGGCAGGUAGACUAGUGGUUAGAGUGGAGGGGCGGCAGGUAGACUAGUGGUUAGAGUGGAGGGGCGGCAGGUAGACUAGUGGUUAGAGUGGAGGGGCGGCAGGUAGACUAGUGGUUAGAGUGGAGGGGUGGCAGGUAGACUAGUGGUUAGAGUGGAGGGGCGGCAGGUAGACUAGUGGUUAGAGUGGAGGGGCGGCAGGUAGACUAGUGGUUAGAGUGGAGGGGCGGCAGGUAAGUCUAGUGGUUAGAGUGGAGGGACGGCAGGUAGACUAGUGGUUAGAAUGGAGGGACGGCAGGUAGACUAGUGGUUAGAGUGGAGGGACGGGGCGGCAGGUAGUCUAGUGGUUAGAGUGGAGGGGCGGCAGGUAGACUAGUGGUUAGAGUGGAGGGGCGGCAGGUAGACUAGUGGUUAGAGUGGAGGGGCGGCAGGUAGACUAGUGGUUAGAGUGGAGGGGCUGCAGGUAGACUAGUGGUUAGAGUGGAGGGGCGGCAGGUAGUCUAGUGGUUAGAGUGGAGGGGCUGCAGGUAGACUAGUGGUUAGAGUGGAGGGGCGGGAGGUAGUCUAGUGGUUAGAGUGGAGGGGCUGCAGGUAGACUAGUGGUUAGAGUGGAGGGACGGCAGGUAGUCUAGUGGUUAGAGUGGAGGGGCGGCAGGUAAGUCUAGUGGUUAGAGUGGAGGGGCGGCAGGUAGACUAGUGGUUAGAGUGGAGGGACGGCAGGGUAGACUAGUGGUUAGAGGGGAGGGGCGGCAGGUAGACUAGUGGUUAGAGGGGAGGGGCGGCAGGUAGUGUAGUGGUUAGAGUGGAGGGACGGCAGGGUAGACUAGUGGUUAGAGGGACGGGGCGGCAGGUAGUCUAGUGGUUAGAGUGGAGGGACGGCAGGUAGACUAGUGGUUAGAGUGGAGGGACGGCAGGUAGACUAGUGGUUAGAGUGGAGGGACGGCAGGUAGACUAGUGGUUAGAGUGGAGGGACGAAGCUAAAGUCUCCCCCUAUCCUGGCUCUC